CCUACGGGAGGCUGCAGUGGGGAAUAUUGCACAAUGGGCGCAAGCCUGACGCAGCCAUGCCGCGUGUGUGAAGAAGGCCUUCGGGUUGUAAAGCACUUUCAGCGGGGAGGAAGGCGGUGAGGUUAAUAACCUCAUCGAUUGACGUUACCCGCAGAAGAAGCACCGGCUAACUCCGUGCCAGCAGCCGCGGUAAUACGGAGGGUGCAAGCGUUAAUCGGAAUUACUGGGCGUAAAGCGCACGCAGGCGGUCUGUCAAGUCGGAUGUGAAAUCCCCGGGCUCAACCUGGGAACUGCAUUCGAAACUGGCAGGCUAGAGUCUUGUAGAGGGGGGUAGAAUUCCAGGUGUAGCGGUGAAAUGCGUAGAGAUCUGGAGGAAUACCGGUGGCGAAGGCGGCCCCCUGGACAAAGACUGACGCUCAGGUGCGAAAGCGUGGGGAGCAAACAGGAUUAGAUACCCCUGUAGUC
rnacentral:rRNA from 1 species